GACGAACGCUGGCGGCGUGCCUAAUACAUGCAAGUAGAACGCUGAAGGAGGAGCUUGCUUCUCCGGAUGAGUUGCGAACGGGUGAGUAACGCGUAGGUAACCUGCCUGGUAGCGGGGGAUAACUAUUGGAAACGAUAGCUAAUACCGCAUAACAGUAGAUGUUGCAUGACAUUUGCUUAAAAGGUGCAAUUGCAUCACUACCAGAUGGACCUGCGUUGUAUUAGCUAGUUGGUGAGGUAACGGCUCACCAAGGCGACGAUACAUAGCCGACCUGAGAGGGUGAUCAGCCACACUGGGACUGAGACACGGCCCAGACUCCUACGGGAGGCAGCAGUAGGGAAUCUUCGGCAAUGGACGGAAGUCUGACCGAGCAACGCCGCGUGAGUGAAGAAGGUUUUCGGAUCGUAAAGAUCUGUUGUAAGAGAAGAACGAGUGUGAGAGUGGAAAGUUCACACUGUGACGGUAUCUUACCAGAAAGGGACGGCUAACUACGUG
rnacentral:rRNA from 1 species